AGAGUUUGAUCCUGGCUCAGAUUGAACGCUGGCGGCAUGCUUUACACAUGCAAGUCGAACGGCAGCACGGAGAGCUUGCUCUCUGGUGGCGAGUGGCGAACGGGUGAGUAAUAUAUUGGAACGUACCGAGUAGCGGGGGAUAACUGUCCGAAAGGAUGGCUAAUACCGCAUACGCUCUGAGGAGGAAAGCGGGGGACCUUCGGGCCUCGCACUAUUCGAGCGGCCAAUAUCUGAUUAGCUAGUUGGUGGGGUAAGAGCCCACCAAGGCGACGAUCAGUAGCGGGUCUGAGAGGAUGAUCCGCCACACUGGGACUGAGACACGGCCCAGACUCCUACGGGAGGCAGCAGUGGGGAAUUUUGGACAAUGGGGGCAACCCUGAUCCAGCCAUGCCGCGUGUAUGAAGAAGGCCUUCGGGUUGUAAAGUACUUUUGUCAGGGAAGAAAAGCCUGGGGAUAACACCCUCGGGUCAUGACGGUACCUGAAGAAUAAGCACCGGCUAACUACGUGCCAGCAGCCGCGGUAAUA
rnacentral:rRNA from 1 species